rnacentral:sRNA from 1 species
UGGUCGCAGGUUCGAAUCCUGCACGACCCACCAAUUUUAACAUCAAACUCAGAUGUUAAGCGUGAAGGAUAACGUUGCGCCAGCAACGGCCCGAAGGGCGAGCGAAGCGAGUCAUCCUGCACGACCCACCA